AGACUACACAUUAGACCAAUAUUAAUAAAGACAAAAAUUUAAUCUAUUCUCAAUUUCACCACAGACUAUAAGCAUUAAGAAAAGUUUGACAUUAAACAAAUAGUAUACAUGCGUCUGUGUGUGUCAAAUACAUGUCAAAUACACCACGUGUGUAAUGCUUUUUAUAUUGAUUUAAUGUAUUUCUGUGCAUAAUAAGAAAAACAGUCUGCACUCUUUCUCUAUAUUAUCUAUAAGUGUGGGAAAUUUCAUACUCCUCCAUCUGGGCAUUUUUCGUAAAAAGGGACAUUAAAGCAGACAGCAAGCCUUGAAAACUUAAUAAGUGAUUUGAAGUAUUUUCAGCAGUUUUUUAUUUUUUUUAUUUUUUUGUUUUUUAUUUAAGUUUUUUUUUUCAACAAUGUUUUUGUUGUGUUCAUGUUCAACAAUGUUUGUCAACAAUGUUAUUGUCUUACUACGUUGCGAAUAGGCCACAAUUUUACUUCAUCAGAUCGUUUCGCGUUAAAGUGUGCUUAAUAAAUUUUUUAUCAAACCA